GUAUAAGAGACAGCAGCCGCCACGGGAAUACAGAGGGUGCGAGCGUUAAUCGGAUUUACUGGGCGUAAAGCGUGCGUAGGCGGCUUCUUAAGUCGGAUGUGAAAUCCCUGAGCUUAACUUAGGAAUUGCAUUCGAUACUGGGAAGCUAGAGUAUGGGAGAGGAUGGUAGAAUUCCAGGUGUAGCGGUGAAAUGCGUAGAGAUCUGGAGGAAUACCGAUGGCGAAGGCAGCCAUCUGGCCUAAUACUGACGCUGAGGUACGAAAGCAUGGGGAGCAAACAGGAUUAGAUACCCCUGUAGUCCCUGUCUCUUAUAC
rnacentral:rRNA from 1 species